CGCUGGCGGCGUGCCUAAUACAUGCAAGUCGAACGCUUCCUACCGGUGCUUGCACCGGGAAAGAAGAGUGGCGGACGGGUGAGUAACACGUGGGUAACCUACCUACAAGCGGGGGAUAACAUUCGGAAACGGAUGCUAAUACCGCAUAGAUCUUUUUGUCUCCUGGCAGAAAGAAGAAAGACGGUUUCGGCUGUCACUUGUAGAUGGACCCGCGGCGCAUUAGUUAGCUGGUGAGGUAAUGGCUCACCAAGACGAUGAUGCGUAGCCGACCUGAGAGGGUGAUCGGCCACACUGGGACUGAGACACGGCCCAGACUCCUACGGGAGGCAGCAGUAGGGAAUCUUCCGCAAUGGACGAAAGUCUGACGGAGCAACGCCGCGUGAGUGAAGAAGGUUUUUUCGGAUCGUAAAACUCUGUUGUUAGAGAAGAACAAGGAUGAGAGUAACUGCUCGUCCCUUGACGGUAUCUAACCAGAAAGCCAUGGCUAACUACGUGCCAGCAGCAGC
rnacentral:rRNA from 1 species